CCAAUAGAGUUUAUUGGCAUUCUGUCCACCUCCCCUCCUUUCUUCAAAUCUUUUUAUUCAAAUUUUUUGGUUUUUGUUUUUUUUUUUUUUUAUUAAAGAAAAUUUAUUUAUAAUAUAGGGGGAGGUGGGCAUACUGCCAACUGAGUUCUGUUGG
rfam:Cucumis melo, WGS project CAJI01000000 data, contig: 15716